GGGUAGCAGGUUUGUUGGAGGCCCACUGGCACAGCAAAUUUCGCACUAUUUUUUUUUCUCCCGUUCACCUAGCGUGAGGCGUGCGCUCUCGUGGCGACUUUGGACACCGCCGGCGCCUACCCUCUGUCUCGUGGCGACGAGCCGCCGCCGCCGACCUAAGCGAGGUCUCUGUGGGACUCUUUGCUGGUGACGAGCAACCAUCAGGUCCGCCCCUGAUGAGCAGGCCCAACACUCGCAACAAGAGCAAGAGGCCACGAUCUGAUGAAUCCAUUAAUCCGUCUGCGGCUGUUUUCAAGAAGAUACACUCCGCCGGUGAUAUCUCGAAAGACGAUAUCUGCCAGCUUUACAUGGUGUGGAAACCGCCUUGCCAUGGCUGCCAUGGCAAUACUAAGGAUUCCCCAAAUUGUUUCUGUGGGUUGAUCCCUGCUGCCAAUGGGGUUCGGAAGACUGGCCUCUGGCAGAAAAUGCAGGAAAUGGUUCGUGGUCUCGGCCCCAAUCCAUCCAAGGACCUCCGCGAUUCCACUGAUACGCCUGCUGGAUUGACUAACCUGGGUGCAACCUGUUAUGCAAAUAGCAUACUUCAGUGCCUUUACAUGAACAUUGCAUUCCGCUCAGGCAUUUUCUCUUUGGAGCUGGACGUUUUGGAGAAGCAUCCUGUUCUGGAUCAGCUAGCACGGUUGUUUGCACAGCUACACUCAAGCAAAAUGUUAUUCAUUGAUUCAGCGCCUUUUAUUAAGACACUGGAAUUAGACAAUGGUGUCCAGCAGGACAGCCAUGAAUUUCUCACUUUGUUUCUGUCUCUGCUCGAGCAAUCGUUAAGUCAUUCCAAGGUUCCUGGAGCCAGAACAAUCGUGCAAAAUCUGUUUUGCGGCAGCGUAUCACAUGUAACAAGGUGCUCGUCAUGUGGAAAGGAAUCUGCAGCAUCUUCAAAAAUGGAGGACUUUUAUGAGCUGGAAUUGAAUAUCAAAGGUUUAAAUAAUUUGGAAGAAAGUCUGAAUGAGUACUUUAGCGAGGAAGCACUGGAUGGGGAGAAUCAAUACUUUUGUGAGUCAUGUCAAAAAAGGGUAGAUGCCACUCGUUGUAUAAAACUUCGAUCACUUCCUCCAGUUGUCAAUUUUCAACUGAAGCGUUAUGUAUUCCUCCCGAAGACAACAACAAAGAAAAAAAUUUCUUCAACAUUCAGUUUCCCAGGACAACUUGAUUUGGGAAAACGAUUAUCAGAGCCUUCAUCUAGUUGCACUUAUGCCUUGUCUGCUAUUUUAAUUCACAAGGGUACUGGUGCUAACAGUGGACACUAUGUGGCACAUAUAAAAGAUGAAAGCAAUGGGCAAUGGUGGGAGUUUGAUGAUGAGACUGUAUCCAAACUUGGUUUGCAUCCUUUUGGUGAAAAACCAGGAAAGGCAUCAAACAAAGAUGAUCAGAAGUCCCAAAAUACCUCCACAGAAGGUUCUGUCACAAACAAUAAUAAUAAUGGCCACCAUGAGGCAGCGCCUAGUUCUACCAUGGGGGAGAUGUUUUCAUCUACCGAUGCUUAUAUGCUGAUGUACAAAUGUAUCACUAAGGAUGUCAAUCCCACUGAAAGCAAUAAAAUUGUGGAGAUAAAUAAUGAUUUACUUCCACACCAUCUUCUAGAUGAAAUUAAUGAACUAAAUGCAUCAUAUACAAAAUUGUGUGUGGAAUACCAAAGCAAGAAGGACAGCCAUUUGGCAUAUAUAACAGAGAGGCGUCAAGAAGUAAAAUCUGUUCUGACAGAAGCACCUGCAGGCCCAGGAGAUGAUUCAUAUUUUUGGAUCUCAACAGACUGGCUUCGUCAGUGGGCAGAUAAUAUUACUCCCCCCUCUUCCAUCGACAAUGGUGCAAUUCAAUGUGAACAUGGAAAGGUUCCAGCAUCUAAAGUCACAUCAAUGAAGCGGUUAUCAUCUGUAGCUUGGCAGAAAUUACAUUCGAAAUAUGGAGGGGGACCUAUAUUGAACAGUGACGAUUUUUGCAUGGAGUGUCUUAAAGACGGGGCAAAAAGUGCAGUAUCUGCUGAUGUUUACCGUGAACGAAGAGCAUCAUUGAAAACACUCGCAGAAGCAGCACUUGCUGGUAAUUGUCCAGAUGGUCCUUCUUACUUUAUCUCAAAGACAUGGUUGACUCAUUGGCUGCGUAGAAAAAAUGCUGAUAUCCCUUCUGAUGGGGAUAACGGACCAACAAGUGCUUUAAGAUGUUGCCAUGGGGAUUUUCUGCCAGAACAUGCUCCAGGGGCAAAACGGGUAUCUGUACCAGAGAUCCUCUGGCUAUUUCUCUACCAAACAGUCCAUGAGAAGAAGGCUGAUGAUACAGUGACUUUUCCAUCAGAUAGUCAUCCAUGUGAAACCUGCAGCCGAGAAUUGUCUGAUGUUGCUUCUGUGGAGGUUAAUCUUAGAGCAGUGAAACUCAAGCAACGACAGAACCAUGAAAAGUUGAUAUCUGGGAAAAGCUUUGCGCUUCAUCCUGGUCAAAAAUAUUAUUUGGUUCCUUCAUCUUGGUUGUCAGAAUGGAGAGCUUAUAUUACAGCAACUGGGAAAAACAUUUCUUCAUUACCAGAACCUCAAACUCUGGAAGCUGUUGCCAGGUCACUUAUAUGUGAAAAGCAUUCAAGAUUGCUGCAAAGGCCUUUGGAUCUUGUUUUAAAGCGUGGGAGCAUCAUUCAGAAAGCAUCAAAUACUGAUGGGUUAACCAUAAUCCCAGAGUAUGAUUGGAAAUUAUUCUCUGAAGAGUGGAGUGCUACACCUGGAAAAGGUAUAUCUGCUGAAAUUGCUUUUAGCAAGAGUUCUCAAGACAAACUGCAUGGAUCAUCUGAAGCAGUGCCGAUUACGGAUGGAAAUCUAGGCCAGUCUCUUGAUGACACAAACGAUGAUUUGGGAGCCAGAGAGCCUUAUAUCAGAACUGAUCCCGAGGUUUGUGAAGAAUGUAUUGGCGAAAGGGAGAGCUGUGCAUUGGUGGAAAAACUCAACUAUCAAAAUGAAGAUAUCCACGUUUACUUUGUCCAUGGAAAAGAAGCACCAAAGUCUAUUAAAGAAGCAUCUAAAGCUGUUACUGUACCAGAUCGUCGGACAUCGAAGCGUUCCCGGAGAACAAGCUCUGGAAACUCAAUCAGUUUGAAAGUCUCUGGCUCUACAUCUGUCUAUCAGUUGAAACUGAUGAUAUGGGAAUCUUUAGGGGUAUGCACAAGGGGAAUCACUAAAAUUAUUGUUAAGGAGAACCAAAUGCUUCACAAAGGCUCUGUUGAGAUUGAAGAUGAUUUUGCUACUCUUGCUGAUAAGAGUAUUUUUCCUGGGGAUUUUCUCUGGGUCAGAGACUCUGAAAUAUAUGAGAACCGUGACAUUGCAGUGAUCGUUUAUGUGUUUCAGAUGAGAUUUCAGAACAAAAGGAUGAUAUGCUACAGGCUGAGGAAGGCUUUCGAGGAACUCUGUUGACAUCAACUGUCUCAGCUCAGCUUUGUCAGGAUAUAGCUUUUAGUGAAUGAGUUCCCACAUCAGAUAUGUAGCUGCAUAUCUGCUGACUUAAGCUGGUGAAGCCUGCUGGGAGAAGGCCGAUUGAUUCAUGAUUAUGGUGGUUCUGGCAGCCGCCGAGGUGGAAAUUUUUGUCGACCCCUUAUCUCCAUGCUCAGGGGGUGUUUGGUUUUUAGGGACUAAUUUUUAGUCCCUACAUUUUAUUCCAUUUUAGUUCCAAAAUUGCUAAAUAUGGAAACUAAAACUCUAUUUUAAUUUCUAUAUUUGACAAUUUAUAUACUAAAAUGGAAUAAAAUGAAGGGACUAAACAUUAGUCCCUUGAAACCAAACACCCCCUCAGUCAAGCUAAGGUUGUUUAGCGAGGAAAAUGUAUGGGGUACCUACUGUAGUUAAGGCCCCGUUUGGUUUGAGGGACUAAAGAUUAGUCCCUCCAUUUUAGUUCCAUUUAGUUCCUAGAUUGCCAAACGGUAGGACUAAAAAUGAGACUAAACUGUUUUAGUCCCUAGUCUCUCAAAAUGUGGCUAAAAAGACUAAACCAUAUUAAUUCCACAUUUGCCCAUCAUUUAGUUCAAUUGUACUAAUAGCACGAGAAUGUUAAAGACAAUUUUAGUCUUCUUAUGAGUCAUUUUGUAUAUUCUUACUAAUUUUAGUCUAUAGAACCAAAUAUGUUAGGGACUAAACUUUAGUCCCCUAAUUAAACUUUAGUCCCUAGACUAAAGAAACCAAACAGUGCCCAAGUCUUUCCCGAUGUAAGUAUAUGAUUACUAGUAUUAGUAGGAAGUUGCUGUUUUCGGCCAUGCUGUUGCCUUGCCUGCAUAGUCUUUUUUUAUCUAUUUUGGUUGUGCGGGCUGAGUGACAUGCCCUGUACCUGGGUCACCUGGUGCCUGGUGGCAUGGCUAGCAGAGGCGUGUUGAGAGGCUGGAGGAGCCUUAAUGCCGAUGAGUUUGUUAUGUUAGAUGAGGUCGCAGGGCCUUUUGACCCCUGUUGUAUGUUCCUGUACCCUGUUGUUUUAGGGUUUACUCCUUUGUUCGGUGCGUGUGUAGGCCCAUUUGGCUGAUCAUAAUAUUGCCGCCUAGGACGAUUGGAUGACAAUGUCGAAUUCUGGUCACUGAAUUUGGGGGGUAAAUAUUGACUUUGGAAAUGGAGGAUGCCCGGCUCGCAAGCUGUACAAUCUUCGGCACCGAUACGCUGUUACUCGUUCUGCAGUGACGGCUCUUCAUCAGAAAUGUGGUUGUUAUAGCCAUAACACAAAGCAAUGUUGUAUCCAUAUCCAUGAUGAGAAUAAUGAUGAAUUUCUACUCA